UCUCUCUCUCUACUCAUGGUGGGUUCACGCCCUCGGCCCACGCCCCUCUGAAGAGGAAACACCUGGGCCUCAUCAGUGCAGCCAGCAUUUAAGCCAGGGAGUGGCUUCUACUCAUCGCUGGAUCGUUGUGUGUGACUCGCAUCCCCUGGACCCGACUCUGCAUUCCCCGAGCGGAUUCCCUUUUUGUGUGAGUGUUUGGAGAGAGAGUCAGAAGAGGAGCAAGUGUCUUUCCCCUACCUGGAUUCCCCGGAGCCUUUUCCCUGUCACCGCUUUGUAUAUAGCACUAUCCCCUGCACUGUUUGUAUAUACACCUGGUGGAACUGUAAUAAAUACUGACUGUGCCUCUGA